rnacentral:rRNA from 1 species
GACGAACGCUGGCGGCGUGCUUAACACAUGCAAGUCGAACGGAAAGGCCUGCUUUCCCUUGUGGAUUGCGGGUGCUCGAGUGGCGAACGGGUGAGUAACACGUGAGUGAUCUGCCCCCAACUUGGGUAUAAGCCUGGGAAACUGGGUCUAAUUCCCGAUAGGACUGCAGGGUGGUGCCUGUGGUGGAAGACGAUUUUCUAGUGGUUGGGGAUGAGCUCGCGGCCUAUCAGCUUGUUGGUGGGGUAAUGGCCUACCAAGGCGGCGACGGGUAGCCGGCCUGAGAGGGUGGACGGCCACAUUGGGACUGAGAUACGGCCCAGACUCCUACGGGAGGCAGCAGUGGGGAAUAUUGCACAAUGGGCGGAAGCCUGAUGCAGCGACGCCGCGUGGGGGAUGACGGCCUUCGGGUUGUAAACUCCUUUCGACCGCGAGGAAGCCACCUGGUUGGAAGGGUGGUGACGGUAGUGGUAGAAGAAGCACCGGCUAACUACGUG